UUUCCGAGAAGCGGAGCCCGUUCUCACAGCCUGGGAAGGCCAAAUGAAUGCUGGAAGGUUAAAAAGACUGAAUUCCUGAAUGUGUGGGCUGCGGAAAUUGGAGGGAAACUAUUUACUCCCUCACGUGACCUCUACCUUGGCUUCACACCCCAAAGCUGUAUAGCAGUU